CAGCAUUAGUUGCGCCUGCUGCGACACGCCUCGGCUGAAGUUGUCUGGCAUUAAACCCAGUUUGUAAAAUUGAUCCGUCGUGAUUCCAAAAUGGGAAAAGUAGCUUUCAUCUCGCUUGUAAUAGCUGCCUUAUCGGCGCUGCUCGGAGAGAGGAUUGUCAACUUAAGGAAAACGACCCUCGCCUCUAGGGAGCUGGUGCAGAAUCACCUCCCCAACUGUGUUGCGCUCAAAAAUCUGGAUUAUGGCUCAGAGGAUAUAACGAUCCUUGGAAACGGGCUUGCAUUUAUCAGCACUGGUCUGAAGUAUCCUGGACUACCAUCCUCAGAUGUGCCAGGCAAGAUCUUCUCCCUUGAUAUGGAAGAUCCUCGGAUGAAACCAGUGGAGCUGCGCAUGCCAAGAAACUUUGAUCUGGAAUCAUUCAACCCUCAUGGCAUCAGUGUAUUCACCGAUCUAAGAGAUGACGCAAUAUACCUGUUUGUCGUCAAUCAUCCUCAACACAAAAGCCAAGUAGAGCUGUUUCAAUAUGUUGAGGACGACCACUCACUGCUGCAUCUGAAAACCAUAAAACAUGACCUUCUCCACAGUGUAAACGAUAUUGUGGCAGUGGGAGUGGAUAGCUUCUAUGCAACCAAUGAUCACUACUUUACCCAUGAACUCCUUAAAGGUUUGGUGGAGCCUUUUCUGUCUCAGCCUUGGGCUAAUGUUGUGUACUACAGUCCUAAGGAAGUAAAAGUGGUCUCUGAGGGAUAUUACUUUGCAAAUGGAAUUAAUAUCUCACCAGACAAAAGACAUAUAUAUGUGGUAGAUUUAUUUGACCACAAUGUGCAUGUGCUGGAGCGGAAAGAAGACAAUGGGUUGGUCACUGUGAAGUCUGUGGCUGUGGGUUCGCUCUGUGACAAUAUGGAAGUGGAACCUGAAACUGGUGACCUGUGGUUAGGCUGUCACCCCAAUGCAUGGAAACUUUUUAUGUUUGAUGCCAAGGACCCGCCUGGAUCAGAGGUCAUCCAAAUCCAGAACAUUCAUUCUGAUCAGCCACUGGUGACUCAGGUGUACGCUGACGAUGGCCACGUGCUCCUUGGCUCCUCUGUAGCAGCUACAUAUGGGGGAAAGUUGCUCAUUGGCACUGUGUUCCAUAAAGCCCUGUGCUGUGAUUUGAAGUAGACAAUUAUUCGUAAACAUAUGAUGUAGUGAUGAUUUGAAUGAUGAGAUAUAUACAUGGAUAUUACAGCACAUGGAAAAUGCUUUACCCUGUUCUACUAGACAGGAUCUGAUAAUAAACCCAGAAAAGAGUGUCUGAAGAUCCACUAGGAGGAGAUUGAGGAAGGUAAAUGCGUUGUGUUUACCUGAUUCUACAGUAUAGCAAUACGCCCUGGUUACAACAGCAUAUUUGAAAGUGCUUUCAGACACAGAAGUUACUGAACUGCCUGGAUACUUGAACCACUCUGCAAUAAGUACUAAAACAUUAUUUUCAAUCAAACAUUUGCUUUGCUGUGUAUCAUGAAAAUAAUAUUUUCACUGGUCUCCUGAACAUUUGAAAUCUGUACAGAUGCAUUGUUUGUAACUGAAUGGUUUAAUUGCUAUUGUCACAUUUGUUUCAUGUAUUUGAAUGUAAGUAAAACGAGUCGUGCUGCA